rnacentral:lncRNA from 12 species
GGCAGUUGUGCUUUAAUGCACUGAUCCAGACUGCUGGAGGCAGCAUUGCAAAAGAAAAAUACCACUUUCCUGCAAAGUCUGUUUUUCUCAGGAAAGGAGUGUGGAGAACAGCUAUUGGUGCUGAAGGCACCAGGGAAGUGCAGCCCUGAGAUCUCCAGCCAACAUUUCAGG